rnacentral:rRNA from 1 species
UACGAGAGGUCUCGAGCGUUAGGCGGAAUCACUGGGCUUAAAGCGUGUGUAGGCGGAUCGGUAAGUACCUUGUGAAAUCCCACAGCUUAACUGUGGAACUGCUUGGUAUACUGCCAGUCUUGAGCCAGCUAGGGGCUACCGGAACAAAUGGUGGAGCGGUGAAAUGCGUAGAUAUCAUUUGGAACGCCAAUGGUGAAAACAGGUAGCUGGGGCUGUGCUGACGCUGAGACACGAAAGCCAGGGGAGCGAACGGG